CCUGAUCUCGACAGCUUGACUCAACGUAGUUAAACCAUUACAAUGAUUUUUUCACAGACAUCUACUAGGAUAGAGCAAGACGCGCUUCUUUAUUCACACAUUUACUUCCAGAAAAUCAUCUUGGUAAUUAAUAUGUUUAUUAGAGCUAGUUCUCGUGAAUAAUGGAUUUGAGAUGAUUCUGUAAUGAGUCUGUCCUGUUUUUGUAUUCCGGCUGUCCUUGAUUUCUAGAUAUUUUUACAUGUUAUAUUAAUCUAUCGUAGAAAUUGAAAUGCGAGUAUCCAGACAGAACUUGUUCACGGUGUUCUGACUUGUGUUAUGUAAGUGAAUUACCAGGGAUCUAUUUCUUAACAAGAGAAGCAAGAGGAGGCUCUUGAGAUAUUCAAGACUGCUGACGUCAAAGGAAAACAUACUCUCUACGUAACUGACGCUUUUAAGAGGGCUCUGACAAAUGUUUUCAAAAGCUUGAAAGUUUCACAAUAUCAGUUAAGGACAAAGAAAGGGAUGCAGACAAAUUCUACCUGUUUUGGAUGUAGUAAAAGAAAGUAAAAUGCGAGUGAAUUCAGUGAUAUUGGACAACUGCUGUUGGUUUGGCCGGCUUCUGCUGCAACUGAGAUGAACGAAAAUGAUGAACAUAUUUCGAUGAUUUUGCUAAGAAAGUUGAUAGAGUGCAAGGACAUUUGGAUAUUUCUUGAACUGACAAAACAAACAUCUCAAAAGAAUACCUUUGAGCUGGAGGAUUCAUUAGAUGUUGCCACCCACAUUCGUUUGUUGAAGGAAAUUAAAGCAGCAGCUCGAGGACUGACUUAGUUGGAGGAAGUUUUCAGGUGCUGGAAGGCCAGAAUCAAUUGAAGGAAAUGUUCACUAAAUAUACCACUAGAAUAUCAUCGAAAGAUGACCAGAAGAAGAAAGAAUCCAAAUCGAUCUUAAAGUACUCUUUGGCGAAAGCUUCUGACUUGGCCUUGUAAGUCGAUUAUGCAUGCUUAGACCGGCAGUUGCUUAGAAAAUUCAUUUGGGCAGAUUCAAAAUUCAGAAGCUGCUUGGUUUUUCGAAUGGCUGCAGUCUGAUGACGCAGUAGACUUUUUUCGAAGAUAAUGGAGAUGACCAUCCUUGAGCACUUGAGGAGCGAACCGAUAGAGUGCAAGGACAUUUAGAGAUUUCCUGUUCUGAUGGAGCAGUCAUGUCAAAAGGCUGCUUUUGGAUUCAAGUUACAAGAUACACUGCUGGCCUAUGGAUUUACAGUUGGGGCUUUGAAGAUGGCUUUGAUGGUUCGCUGAAAACAUUUAUUGUUUUAUUUCUUUAGAUAUUUAUAUAUUAAUUUAUCUUACGAGAUUUCCCCUGAUUUUACUAAGUUGUCUUUUUUACAAAGAGCCCCACCUUUUGCUAAACUGUCGGUUUAAACACAGUUUUUGGCACUCUUUCGGUAAAUUUUGUCAUUUGUCUGCAAAUUUGCUUGUUUUGUGAGAUUUUGCCUCCCCCACCCCUCUGAAAAAUUAAUUCCCCCCUCUGAUGAAAGGUACUCUAAAAUCUAAAUCUAGAGGCGGAACCUAAUUAAAAUUUUGUAGAUUAUAACUUGAGUAAACCAAAAGACGAAUUUUAGUUCAGUGACAUUUUUAGACUGCCGGGCUUGUUACUGAAAAAGUAUUUUCAGGGACUGAACUUUAAAGCAAACAGGUCUGCAAAAAGCUUUAUUGAUUACAGCUGUCACUAUCAAUUCUUUUAAAAUGUUAAAGUUCGUUCCAUAAAUAACAUGUAACCUAAAUGUCUAGAUUAUUAGACAGAGCAAAGUUUAUGCGCACGGACUUCGGUUUUAUUUAAGACCGUUGUUCUUUGAGCAAGAUUUGAACGGACAGUUGUUCAAGGCUUAGGCCUGUAGCCCAGAUCUCUUUUUAAGGGCUCGCUAGCUUUUCGAAAUUUGGCUUGUUUUAGGGAAGCAAUGAUUCUAAGCAUUCUGAAAGUGUUUUCAAACUUUUCUUUCAAAGAUAUUAAUUUUUUUGCUGCACACAAAGGAUUACGAAACAUUGAGAAUCGACUCCCCUUCAUUUGAACACAGUCUUGCGAUUUGAAUAAUUUUCAUAUACUUCUCCGUAUUCUUUUUUAAUGUCAUGCUAAUUUUUUGUACUGACGAACGUAUUAGAAAUAUUUACUUGUGCCAAUUUGGUUUUUUAAUUUACAAAAGUCGGAAACAUUAGCAAAUUUGUGUUUUGCCAUCAUCCAAAACCUGGGUUUCCACUUGGUAUAAGUUUAGCCUCCAUAGGGAUCUCGGUUAGAAUCAUUUUUGGAAUAUACUUUGAGUUAAUUGUGAAUUGCCACAGGACUGUUAUGAAAUUUAAUGCCCUCUGUGGUUUCAUCAACGAACUGUAGUUUUGUAGUUAUGUAUUUUAAAUUUAAGUUGGUAUAAAAAAUUGAUCAUUCGUAGUUUUAUCAGAUUGAGGAAGCAAUGGAAGACUUCUUUUACAACCUUGAUAAGAAAGGUCCAAAUGGGACACACACUUUGGCUACGUUACAUUAUCAAUUUAUUAUCGUGAUAGCUGUUGUAAAAGAGAGUCAACAUUUUAAGGGAUUAACCUCGUUCAUUUGUUUCUUUAGGACUCCAAUCUGUGUCGAUUUGCAUCUUGUUUUUGAAAAAAGAGAGACUAGAAACCAACAAUAUUUUUGUGCACGGAUUUUGUAAAAUGUGAAGAUCUUUGACAACACAAGCGGUGGCCAAAUCACCAAAGAGGGUCCAGAGUUGAAAAAUAUGGAUUGCGAAAUUGGACAUUCAAAGAAGUCCCACGAGGUGUACCUCGAUUGUUAGGCGAGGGUUGGAUCAAAGGGUGCAAAACGUGAAGUGAUUCUUACUUCUUUUCAGUACAGAUAUAAAAACAAAAAGAUGGACUCCCAAUCGAUUUCUUUUCAAAACACUGAUAAAACAGGUCGUUGACAAUUAUUUAAGAUUAGGGGGUUUAAACAAGCAAAAUAUAAUCAUGCAACGUCCUUAGGCCAUUAGAAAUAUAUGUUGAAUUAUUGUACAAUCUUUCACAGGAUCCUACAAACGAAUCCUGAAGAGUCGAGAAAUAUUAAGACUCCACGUCACCUAAAUAUACAGAAAAACUGAAGGUCGCAUUAAAGGCACUGGUCAUAAAUUUUGGUCAUAAAUUUUGGGAUUUAUUUUUAGCAUAUUCAGAAAUUGUGGGAUGUCAUUUUUAAAAUAAAGGGGGUUUUAUUUACUUGAUUGAGUUGUUGGAUUUUAUGAAAUUUGAAUUAAAUUUAUAUUUCAUAUUGUAUCGAAAUUUAUGGGUAGGAUUUUAAAGAAUUAUGAAUUUUAAGGUAUGUUUUCAUAUUACAAAAUGGCACACCCCCGUCCUCCGCCUAUUGAAAUUCCCUGUGGUGUGAAGGAGAUCAUCAUUGGCGGGUAAUUUGAAUGAAUUUUGGCGGGAAUGGCUCGUGGAAAUGGCUCGUGGAAAUGGCUGCACAGGAUACCUUUGUUUCACAAUCUGCUGGGAAUCUAGUCUAAAUUUGCAUAUGCUUAUAAAUACCUGGUUUCUUUGCUAUUCAAUUAGUUGGCACAAAAGAGUCGAAGAUGAGGGACACUCGUGUCUUCAUCUUGGCCUACAACGGCAUGUAAGCCUAGGAUAAUGGAGUGAACACAGACAAACGACAAGUUAUAGUGAUUCGUUGAUCCGACGUCAAUCAUAGCUCUUGGCGGGGAACAGAUGAUUCUUAGGUGUCAGUUAAAGGUUAAAGAAAAGCUAACUGGCCCUCAAUGUUACCAUUGGCAACAAAUCUGCAAGGUUUGUAAACUCUGUUCUUUUGUCUAGCAUUUUUAACUAAUUUUUGUAUAUUAAUGUUGUUGUUGAGAAAAUCAUUCUCCAAGUUCAAAACUCCACUGAGCCAGGAUUAUAUUUUUAAAACCUUAUAUUACUAUUGCAUAUUGGUAUUUAUUUCCAACAUUCCAUUAUAACUUUUUAUUCUGGUGAUGCAUUGAGAAAUUAGCAUUUUUUGUAUCAGGGUUCUGAAAAUUUUUUGUGCUUGGAAAUAACUUUUUCAUUAAUUUUUUUUCAAAUUCAACAUGUCAAGUGUGGUGAAUUCUUGUGAGCUAGAGAUCAGCAAGGUUUGUAUUAACCCCUUUGUAUGUCUAAUAUUUGAUGAAAUAUCUCACUGAGUUUUAAUUUCAAACACUCUUUUCUAUGUGUCUACCAUAUAUAAUAUAAAAAAUUAUCCAUUCUUGAGACAAUCAUUCUUCAAGCCAGAAACACUGCUACUCCAGAAUUUGAUGUUUAUUUUGAAAGAUCUUUAAUUGAAUUAGAGCAAGGAUAUGUUUAUUUUUGAUGCUGCACUGCAAAUUUUUAUCCUGGUGAAGAAUAUAAUUAGAAAUGCACAAUUUUUGUGCCAUGUUUCUGUAGAUUUUUGAGUCUGGAAAUAACUUUCUUUCCUUUCUUUUUUGUUUCAAGAUCAUUAUGUCAAGUUUUGAGCAUAAUGUUACUAAGGUUUGUAAAUAUUCCUUGGUAUUUUUACUGAAUACUUUUGAUCCAAACUUUCACUGAAUUUUCUUCCAUGAACCUGUUUUUGAGACAAUUAUUUUUUCAAGUUGUCAAAGUCAAUUUUGAUAAAAUUUAAUGUUCCUUGUUAAAGGUCUUUAAUUAACAUAAAAUAAGGAUAUAUUUUCAGUUGUAAGUCAGCUAUUUAUUUAUGUGUGAUGCACCUUUAAAAUGAGAGCUUUGUUUUUCUAAAAGAUUGGAGUGCUUUUUCUAUAUCAGAAGUAAAAUUGCUAGAUAUGGUAGCAUACCAUACUUUUCUCUUAGGGAGAAAGAAAGCUGAAAUAAUCAUAGAUCAUACAAUAAAAAUCUAUUUGCUGUUGUCUGCUUCCUUUUAAGGCCACCUCUUCAGUUUUAAAUUUCUCCAUGUUUGAAAGCUUUACAGUUUGGCAAAUGUACUAAUAUCAUAUUUUUUUGAAUUCGAGGGCAAGAAUUUAAGAUGUCUUGGAAUUUAAUGAACAAGGUGCCAUCAAGGUUUGUUGACACUUGCUAUGUCUUAUAUAUGGACCUAGAUUUAACUUUUUGAAAUAUUGUUCCUCGUCUUAACAAGACAAGAGUUUGGGAAUAUAGUGCAAAUUCUCAUCUUGAGACUUACUUGGCAGAUUUAAGAAAUGUAAUAAACUCAAUUUGCAGUGCAAGUCUGGCAACUUCAAGAUA